rnacentral:SRP_RNA from 1 species
GCUGGGCGUGGUGGCUCACGCCUGUAAUCCCAAGCACUUUGGGAGGUUGAGGUGGGUGGAUCACUUGAGGUCAGGAGUUUGAGACCAGCCUGGCCAACAUGGUGAAACCCCAUCUCUA